rnacentral:misc_RNA from 1 species
CUACUCCCCUAGCUUCAACUAUGCUCGUUGACCUAUUAAUUGGAAUCUUAAGACAUCUAUUUUACCAACACUACCAAAUGUUUGACAAUAAAUUAUAAUUGUAAAAAAACAGUUCUAGCAAGAUAUAAUAAAUGUUUCAGCUGUUUGAAACGUUUACAAUAGCGCCUUAUGACUUUUGCUUCCAGGAUCAAAAUAAAAGCUGCAUCCUAAAACAAAUUGCAGCUCUCAGGUAAACAACACACUUACCAGCCACGGACCCAACAACUCUGCCAAUGGCUAUGAAAUCUCAACACCGCGUUGUCAUUCCAACUCAAAGCAAAAAAUGAACGCCUUUUUACUAAGCAGAUACAACCCGAACCCAAAGAGAAUAAAUCCCAUGAUCUUUCACCAUGUGCAUGUCAUCAGAAUCGAUUUCAGGAAAGAGGUUAAUGUAAAAGCGAAAGCCAUCAGGGCUUAUAUCCCUACAUAGUAUACCUCUGCUCUCAGCAGUUAGAAGAUGCUCCUUAGCCAUAGCCGGAGCAAUACCCAAAGUCAUUGCAGCAUCACUAGCAGUUAUUCCAGCUUGGAGGGCAUCAGGCUUUGUGACAAGGGUUUUGAUCCGGGUAAAAACCUCCUCGUCACUAUGGGACUUGUUCUGGAUGACCAUGACUCCACUAUCAAACUUUCGAAGCAUGACUGGUCUGUCAAACAAAGCACAAUCUUAUAAAAGACUAGAAACAUUUAAGGAAAAAAAAGUCUUGUUUCAAAAUUAAUUAGUCUCAAUAUUUUGAAUCUCAAAUGAACAACCAUAAUCAUGAAGACAUCAUGCUUACGCAUCAAAUUUCUCCCAUAGAGUACAUGCUUGCAACAAAUCCUCAGGUGAGAUCAAUUCUGUGAAAAUAUACAAGAUGAAAACCCAGUCUAUUCAUCUAAUAAGUGCCGCUACAAAAUUAAAAACUCAUGAAAUGAAAAUAUGCGCAACAAAACAAAGAAAUACUAUGGUAUCCAAAAAACCUGUGCCCCGAGCACGAUUAAAGAGACAAUAGAUAUCUAUAAGAUUGAUCAUCCCUCCAGCUCUUUCUAGUGGAGUUCUUACAAAAUCUGCCAACUGUCGAGACAACUGUUGAUGAUACAAGGCACCCGCAGAUUCUUUUGUUACAGGAGAUAUGAUACCAACGCUUAACAACCAAUCUUGCAUCUCCUCUUUAGAACCCAUUUCCUCAUUGUUACCUGCAUUAGUUUCCGAGUUUGAGCCAGACAAGAGCUUUUGCCUCAUUUUCUCUGCUAGCAUCACCAUCUCUUUAGCCUUGCUCAUUAGUGCAUUCAAGUCUUGGAAAGCCUCCUGUAAGCUCUUGUCCGUACUCUCCCACAUCUCCUGUUCCUUCCUUAGUAUCCCUGCCAAUCCCACCAUUCUCACUGACCCAUCAUUUAAAUAAAACCCACCUGAAUUAGAACUUGUACCAGAAAUCGAAGUUGUAACAGAACCAUCAGCAGUGGAACCCCCAGCACUAGUCUCCCAAGCCCUUCCCCUCCAAUUCUCCCAGAACUUAGGCAAAAACCCAUCCCAAUCCCCCUUCCCUCUGGCCACCACUGUGACAACAAGGCUCUUGGAAUUCAAGGAGACUUGGAAGCGAAUCCGAGGGGAGUGAAAGAUGGAUUUGAUGGAUUUUUUGGAAGAGAAUAUAUGGGUGAUGAGGGACAAAGGGAUAGCAAUGGCAUUGGAAUGGGCAGAGGAAUUGGAAGGGAUCCAGAUGAGGCGGUGGGUGGUGAGGAUGAGGAGACCUGAUUUGAGGGAAGGGAAGCUGGGGCCAUCAUCAGAUUCAAGGUCCACGGCUGAAAGAAGUUGGCAUUCAAUCUCGUUGGGAAGGAACACUGGGCGGCCGCUGCUGGUGACAGAUGCUGACGGGAAGAAAUUGUUGCUGCUAGCCAUUGAGCCUUCUGUUCUUUGCACCACCCUCUUCUUUCUACUGCUUCAUUUGUUACGAAGAUAGAAAGCUGGGUCAUAA